GGCCUGAAGAAAGGUGAGCUUCUCUUGUUAGGUAUCUGAGUUAGGGUUGUUUGAUCGAUGACCUGAAGCACCAGCUGUAGCUCUUGUUGAUAGGCGAGGCACUAAGGUUGACAGUAGACCGGAUGUUUUGAUCUCCCAGACGGUAGCCUGUUUGAAGGUGCAGUGAGACAUAAGAGCUGGGAACCUGUCGGCCAGCGGUUCAGAAGGAGUUACACUUGCCAUCGCCGACCACGACAGUGGUAAUGGCCUGGUAUAGAGGAAUGAUGGCCCUCAAAGUCUGCCAGUGAUCACCAUGUAGGUCACCGCUCAAAUUCGUGAUGGAAGCCCGUCUCGGCACCCAUUCUACCCAAGCAGAUGAUUGGGGGCAGUGAAGCCGAUGCAGGACAGUUCGUGGACGAAGAGGUGGGGCGACCAUAGUGGCCAUGGCGCCGCGAGCAGAUACAGAUUCUAGAGAGUAAGAAAAGGGAUGACACAUAAAGCUAAGGAAGAGUGUGAGCUUCUUUGUACCUUGAGAAAAAUACCGUCAUUGAAAGUUUGCAGUCUCCAUCUCAUUUAAGCUUCCACGGUUACUUGCUGUAACAUCCAAAAUUUGAAUUUCAAUUAAUAGGAUUUAAUUUGAAUUAUUUAAGAAUUUUAGUGAGCAUUUAAUGUAGCAAAUAAACAAUUUUGUGGAAAUUUAAAAUUUAUCAUAAGCUUAGUAACAUGAUUUUGUGCAUUCAUGCUGAGACAUAUUUUAUUUUGUGUUGAUUGUAUUUAGUUUAUAUUUAAUUGUCCUCAAAAUCCUUUUUGAAAAAGGUUUAAAAAAAAAAAAGAAUAAAACAAAACAGAAAAAAAAAAAGAAAGGAAGCCUUCCAGGCCGAGGCCCAGCUCCCCUCCCCGCGGCCCAGCAAGCCGCGGCCCAGCCGGGCAGCAGGCGUGCCCCCUUUCCUUUUCCCUCUCUGGCCGACAGCUGGGCCCCGCCCCUUCUCUCACUGCGACGUGGGACCCAGCGCGCAGCGCCCUUCUUCUCCCUCGCCGUAGCCGAGUGGAACUCGGUGGGAGCAACCGAACCAGCGUGAUCUUCCAAGAUCCCGAAACUCUCGCGAUUUUUUUUGCCGUUUUGUGCGCUAUAAAGUCCCUUUCCAACCCCGCGGUUUUCCCUUGCUGCGCGGCUGCCGAACCGAGCCCUAGACGCUCUAAUCGGUGCACGUUUGGAUCUCGCCGAACCGCGAGUCGAGACACCACCGUGGCGCGAGCUCUCUGCCCACUCACAGGCCGAAACGAUCCCCUAGGUGCGUUCGCGUGAAGCUCCUCUACCUUUCGGUGCUCUUGAUUUCGUGUUUGGUGCUCAAAAUCGCGAGUUGGGAGGUCGCCGGUGAGGCGC
rnacentral:lncRNA from 1 species